UUGGGGAUGGGGUGUCUCAGGGAGUCUUGGGGGCAACCAACCCCCUGUGACACGCCUGCUCCCAG
rnacentral:miRNA from 1 species